rnacentral:rRNA from 1 species
GACGAACGCUGGCGGCGUGCUUAACACAUGCAAGUCGAACGGAAAGGCCCUGCGUUUGUGGGGUGCUCGAGUGGCGAACGGGUGAGUAACACGUGAGUAACCUGCCCUUGACUUUGGGAUAACUUCAGGAAACUGGGGCUAAUACCGGAUAGGAGCUCCUGCUGCAUGGUGGGGGUGGGAAAGUUUCGGCGGGUGGGGAUGGACUCGCGGCUUAUGAGCUUGUUGGUGGGGUAGUGGCAUCCCAAGGCUUUGACUGGUAGCCCGCCUGGGAGGGUGACCGGCCACCUUGCGCCUGCGGUACGCCCCAGACUCCUACGGGAGGCAGCAGUGGGGAGUAUUGCACAAUGGGCGCGCGCCUGAUGCAGCAACGCCGCGGGCGGGAUGCCGGCCUUCGGGUUGUAAACCGCUUUCGCCUGUGACGAAGCGUGAGUGACGGUACUGGGUAAAGAAGCACCGGCUAACUACGUG